rnacentral:rRNA from 6 species
GGGUUGUGAGGUUAAGCGACUAAGCGUACACGGUGGAUGCCCUGGCAGUCAGAGGCGAUGAAGGGCGUGCUAAUCUGCGAUAAGCGCCGGUAAGGUGAUAUGAACCGUUAUAACCGGCGAUACCCGAAUGGGGAAACCCAGUGUGACUCGUCACACUAUCAUUAACUGAAUCCAUAGGUUAAUGAGGCGAACCGGGGGAACUGAAACAUCUAAGUACCCCGAGGAAAAGAAAUCAACCGAGAUUCCCCCAGUAGCGGCGAGCGAACGGGGAGGAGCCCAGAGCCUGAAUCAGCAUGUGUGUUAGUGGAAGCGUCUGGAAAGGCGCGCGAUACAGGGUGACAGCCCCGUACACAAAAGCGCAUGUGCUGUGAGCUCGAUGAGUAGGGCGGGACACGUGGUAUCCUGUCUGAAUAUGGGGGGACCAUCCUCCAAGGCUAAAUACUCCUGACUGACCGAUAGUGAACCAGUACCGUGAGGGAAAGGCGAAAAGAACCCCGGCGAGGGGAGUGAAAAAGAACCUGAAACCGUGUACGUACAAGCAGUGGGAGCCCCACCACCAAAGCAUUCUCUGGUGUUGAAGGCCCUGCAAAGCAGCAUCGCGGUGGCGGAGCGUCGUUUGCGACGCCCAACACACAAAACAAGCGGUGAGUGCUUUGGGGUGGGGUGACUGCGUACCUUUUGUAUAAUGGGUCAGCGACUUAUAUUCUGUAGCAAGGUUAACCGAAUAGGGGAGCCGGAGGGAAACCGAGUCUUAAUUGGGCGUUAAGUUGCAGGGUAUAGACCCGAAACCCGGUGAUCUAGCCAUGGGCAGGUUGAAGGUUGGGUAACACUAACUGGAGGACCGAACCGACUAAUGUUGAAAAAUUAGCGGAUGACCUGUGGCUGGGGGUGAAAGGCCAAUCAAACCGGGAGAUAGCUGGUUCUCCCCGAAAGCUAUUUAGGUAGCGCCUCGUGAAUUCAUCUCCGGGGGUAGAGCACUGUUUCGGCUAGGGGGCCAUCCCGGCUUACCAACCCGAUGCAAACUGCGAAUACCGGAGAAUGUUAUCACGGGAGACACACGGCGGGUGCUAACGUCCGUCGUGAAGAGGGAAACAACCCAGACCGCCAGCUAAGGUCCCAAAGUCAUGGUUAAGUGGGAAACGAUGUGGGAAGGCCCAGACAGCCAGGAUGUUGGCUUAGAAGCAGCCAUCAUUUAAAGAAAGCGUAAUAGCUCACUGGUCGAGUCGGCCUGCGCGGAAGAUGUAACGGGGCUAAACCAUGCACCGAAGCUGCGGCAGCGACACUGUGUGUUGUUGGGUAGGGGAGCGUUCUGUAAGCCUGUGAAGGUGUGUCGUGAGGCAUGCUGGAGGUAUCAGAAGUGCGAAUGCUGACAUAAGUAACGAUAAAGCGGGUGAAAAGCCCGCUCGCCGGAAGACCAAGGGUUCCUGUCCAACGUUAAUCGGGGCAGGGUGAGUCGACCCCUAAGGCGAGGCCGAAAGGCGUAGUCGAUGGGAAACGGGUUAAUAUUCCCGUACUUGGUGUUACUGCGAAGGGGGGACGGAGAAGGCUAUGUUGGCCGGGCGACGGUUGUCCCGGUUUAAGCGUGUAGGUGUGUGUUCCAGGUAAAUCCGGUUCACUUUAACACUGAGGCGUGACGACGAGGCACUACGGUGCUGAAGCAACAAAUGCCCUGCUUCCAGGAAAAGCCUCUAAGCAUCAGGUAACACGAAAUCGUACCCCAAACCGACACAGGUGGUCAGGUAGAGAAUACCAAGGCGCUUGAGAGAACUCGGGUGAAGGAACUAGGCAAAAUGGUGCCGUAACUUCGGGAGAAGGCACGCUGACACGUAGGUGAAGUGAUUUACUCAUGGAGCUGAAGUCAGUCGAAGAUACCAGCUGGCUGCAACUGUUUAUUAAAAACACAGCACUGUGCAAACACGAAAGUGGACGUAUACGGUGUGACGCCUGCCCGGUGCCGGAAGGUUAAUUGAUGGGGUCAGCGCAAGCGAAGCUCCUGAUCGAAGCCCCGGUAAACGGCGGCCGUAACUAUAACGGUCCUAAGGUAGCGAAAUUCCUUGUCGGGUAAGUUCCGACCUGCACGAAUGGCGUAAUGAUGGCCAGGCUGUCUCCACCCGAGACUCAGUGAAAUUGAACUCGCUGUGAAGAUGCAGUGUACCCGCGGCAAGACGGAAAGACCCCGUGAACCUUUACUAUAGCUUGACACUGAACAUUGAGCCUUGAUGUGUAGGAUAGGUGGGAGGCUUUGAAGUGUGGACGCCAGUCUGCAUGGAGCCGACCUUGAAAUACCACCCUUUAAUGUUUGAUGUUCUAACGUGGACCCGUGAUCCGGGUUGCGGACAGUGUCUGGUGGGUAGUUUGACUGGGGCGGUCUCCUCCUAAAGAGUAACGGAGGAGCACGAAGGUUGGCUAAUCCUGGUCGGACAUCAGGAGGUUAGUGCAAUGGCAUAAGCCAGCUUGACUGCGAGCGUGACGGCGCGAGCAGGUGCGAAAGCAGGUCAUAGUGAUCCGGUGGUUCUGAAUGGAAGGGCCAUCGCUCAACGGAUAAAAGGUACUCCGGGGAUAACAGGCUGAUACCGCCCAAGAGUUCAUAUCGACGGCGGUGUUUGGCACCUCGAUGUCGGCUCAUCACAUCCUGGGGCUGAAGUAGGUCCCAAGGGUAUGGCUGUUCGCCAUUUAAAGUGGUACGCGAGCUGGGUUUAGAACGUCGUGAGACAGUUCGGUCCCUAUCUGCCGUGGGCGCUGGAGAACUGAGGGGGGCUGCUCCUAGUACGAGAGGACCGGAGUGGACGCAUCACUGGUGUUCGGGUUGUCAUGCCAAUGGCACUGCCCGGUAGCUAAAUGCGGAAGAGAUAAGUGCUGAAAGCAUCUAAGCACGAAACUUGCCCCGAGAUGAGUUCUCCCUGAGACUUAGAGUCUCCUGAAGGAACGUUGAAGACGACGACGUUGAUAGGCCGGGUGUGUAAGCGCAGCGAUGCGUUGAGCUAACCGGUACUAAUGAACCGUGAGGCUUAACCUUACAACGCCGAAG